AUAUAUAUAUAUAGGUUUAUAUAAUUGUCUGAACCUCUGAAAUAUAUCUUGUUAUUGUAUUUAUGUCUCAUAGAUAAUAUAUGAUACUGCCAUCCAGUGGAUAGAGGAGGUAAAGCCAAGCUGAAAGCAAUGCAGCCUGUUUACCAGGAGAGUGCCAAGAACCCCAAAAAGGGGUUGCAUUAGUCUACUACUAAACAUUUCUUAAGUUUGCUUUUAAGGGUCAGGGAUAUCAGUAUAAGCCCUGCUGAAGAAUCCUGCAUUGCUGGUCACCUGUAUAAGGUAUGUUUUGCCCGCUGGGACCAGCAUGGGAGGAGGCUGGUUGCUGGUUUGUGGGAUCUCAUCGUGGGAGGCAGGUGUGCUGGUGGACGAGAAUAAGACAAGUGCCCUACUCACACUCAACCCCACGAAACCAUGCUGGUGAACCAGCUUCAACAGCUUCAUAUUGUGUGAAAACAGCAUAGAUAUGUUGGUCCACCAGCUAGACCAGCAUUACACCAGCACAAACCAGGAGGGUCCUUGUUCUUAGACGUGUCACUCGGUUGGGGCUUUAGGGUCAAAUGGGAAAAGAGCAAGCUUUCCCCAGUGCUAAGCUUUUCUGUUCUCAGGAUGGAGUUGGACUCAGUCGCCAUGCAGCACAUCUCAUGAAGAAGAGCACACAAUCAGUGCUAAGUCACUCAGGGGAAGAACAGCGCUCCCACUGAAACAAUUUCAGGGCAUACUGCAUCCUCUGCAGUAGUAACAUUAGGCUGAUGCAUAUGAGACUGCUUCAGCACUGGCUUCAGACUGAGAUGGUCAUGGCGCUGUGGCCCCUCUGAAAGACCUUGCAUUUCUACAAGCAGAGAACACUUUGAGCAAGAAUCCAAGCAUGUUGUUGUCACAAGAGGCAUGUCCAAGACAAGGCAGGGUGUCAUAUGCAAAGGGGCACACAGGCCUGGGCUCCUGGACCGGACUUCAGCUGUGCUGGUGUACCAAUUGCCUUACUUUGCUACAGUAUUGCUGGCCCUGCUGAGGUUUUCAUUGAUCCAGGGCAAGUACGAAGAAGUUGGAGGGACAUCUGUACCGCUGGACCUUGAAGAAUAAAGUUGCUAUCAUUAACCGCAUACCCUGAAAGUGACCGCUGCUGAAUUUAUCUGCUUACUUACCCUUAAACAUACCCGGAUAUAUCACAUAACCUGCUUUCUGGAAUAUACCCCCCAGAUCACAACCUAUUCCACUCUAAGACUGUCUACACAUCCUCUUGUGUUCCACAUGGACUGCUUCAGUACAUCAGAAACAAGUCUUUAAGACACUUGUUGUUAAUGUUUAAGCUGACUGUUUAAAAUGCUUUGCUAGUUCCCCGGUGUAGCUUGGGUACUCCAAAAGUUUUUUUUAUUUUUUUUUUUGUUCCUUGCCACAAUUUCCUCUGACUUGCUUACUGAGGAUUAAAUCAUUAUGAGUUGACUUUCUAACAACUCAUUUAAAAUACUUAGAGGUGGGUGAUAUGACCGGUACAUAGGCAUUUCCACAAUAUAAUACAUAAGUCAUAGUCUUUAUAAAAACCUUUCUCAUGAUGUAGAAAGACAGAACACUUUGUAGCAUGGUCACCCUAAAUAAUUUCAAAGUUUUAGCUUGGGCACCAGACGGGCACCAGACAAGCACCAGACAUAGGAUGGGGCAAUCUUAAUUUGUGAAUGACUAAUAAAAAAAAAAUACAUAAAUAAAACA